rnacentral:lncRNA from 1 species
GAAGACUGUCACGUGGCGCCGGAGUUCACGUGACUCGUACACAUGACUUCCAGUCCCCGGGCGCCUCCUGGAGAGCAAGGACGCGGGGGAACAGAGAUGAUCCGAGCCGCGCCGCCGCCGCUGUUCCUGCUGCUGCUGCUGCUAGUGUCCUGGGCGUCCCGAGGCGAGGCAGCCCCCGACCAGGACGAGAUCCAGCGCCUCCCCGGGCUGGCCAAGCAGCCGUCUUUCCGCCAGUACUCCGGCUACCUCAAAGGCUCCGGCUCCAAGCACCUCCACUACUGGUCUGCCGCCCUGCCUUCUGGGCGGGAUUGGGAGAAGAGAUGACGGAUGAGGGAUGGGGGGUAGUUCUGCAGACCCCUGAGGAUGCCUGGGAGCCGGG